CGCUGGAAAUCGCCGCAGUGGAUCGUGAAGCCGGUGGUGGAAUCGACGAGCAGCGGAGACGAGGAGUUGGAUGGAUCGGCGAGAGGGCCCGAGAAGAGCAAUGCUGGGAGGUUGUGAUGCGUCUGGAGUGGAAUCGGGACUGGAGGGAACAAGCUGCGAUAGAUCCCGUCCUCUCCAUGGCCGCCUUUUGCUGGAUUCACCUCUGCCAUAACCAUAGCCGGGAAAAUAGGGAUUAUGGAGCUGGUACGGCUCAAGCUCGCGCUGUGGCGCUGUUCUCGCGCGAUCGGCAAGAACGCGAGCGCAAGAGAUCAUCUUGCAUUUUGUUUUGGUGUCUAGAAGAUUUCAAGCUGUGAUCUUUUGCGCUUGCCCUUCCUACGCGUCUUCAAGAUCUUGGAUGAUUGUCGCUUGCAUCGCGUUUGUGAUGUGGAUCUGACGACGGAGUUCCAUGCAUGUUAUGUACUCGACGAGAUGCGAGGUGGCGGCCUUUUUUGCGAGGAUGGCACGUUUCUUUGGUUCAGUCAAUCGGAACUCCGCUUAGGCAGGGCAAGUCUUGAGGGGGUGUGUGUCACUGUUUCUAUCUCUGUGGCACAAACCAAACCGGGUAUUGCGGGAGCUUGUCGCGCCGUCCCAGCUUGACCAGGACGUUGUGGGCCACAGUUGACGUAGAAAGUUGAUCGUAGAUAUCUGGGCCAAAUAUCGCUGUUGGAUCGUGGUAUUUUGUGAGGUGUUCCCUUCGCUGGAUCCAGGCUGCGAGGAACCAUAGCUCCAGUUCUUCUUCAAGGGCUUUGGAGGUAUUCCUUGGAGGUCCAGGAUGAAGCUUGUCGUCCACCUGUCCACUGCGUGCCACCAUCCCUUGCCCUGUUGUUGUGUGAGUUGUUGAGAGUCGAUGAUUGCUUGGUCCGCGAGCUUGCCAUGCGGGAGAAAAUGGCUCUUACGUAGAUAUUGGAUCAUUUGUCACCAUGCCAUGUUCUCGAGGGGGAGGAGGCCAGCCUCCAUGAACAUAAUUGGGAGUGCUACGUUUGUUGAGAUACCAAGCUCGUCGGAGGUGAAAGUCGUGGCAAUAGUUUCCAUCUGAGCCCACUGCUUCUGUCGCCCUUGAGCUGCUCAUGAAAAUGAUAUAAAAGUGUCUGUUCCCAUAACUUAAUGUGUGCCUCAGCACCAUACAAGGCCACUGUGGUGAUUUGUUUUGAAAAAAUAAAUCUUCACGUCCCAGCAGGUCAUCCGUGCUCUUUGACAGUCGAAUUGCAUGGCUCUCUUUGCAGUUCGCCUAUGUGCUUGGAUGCUUUGGUUAUGUGAAUAAUAUGUACUCAUCCACUGCUUCAAUUUUCUUGCCAUCGUACCAGAAUUUGCUUGUCUGGUCUGGGCAAAGACCAUUACCUUUGUCUUUCCAAGGUUGAUUCGCAGGCAGAAACGGUAAAGUGUGUCCAGAGCUGGCUUGCGGUUUGUUAUGAAAUGGGGACACCCAGCCUUGUGAGCGCAGCAGCGCUCCAUGCUGGGUCCACCUUUAUUGCGGAAGACGGAUCAAGAACAGAAUGUGUCAGGCGUGAUCACCUACAGAACCUAAACGGAUGUGUCCCUUCUGCUGACGUGGCAUCCCAGCUUGAGAUUGCGGCUUAAGUCCUCAACACUCCCACUCGAGCUAAGCUGGGAUCAGCCUCGAGCAACUGCACACCAAGAGCUUGGACAUGCUUGGAGAAUGCAGCUAGGGGCAGAGCUUUUGUGAAAACAUCUGCCACCUGAUCUCCCGUCGCACAAUACACUAGCUCCAUUGUCUCCAUGGCAACCUGCUCACGAAUAAAAUGAAACUGUACCUGUAUGUGCUUGGUACUCCGUGAUACUGCUCCCACUGCAUAGGCUAUGUCUGGCCUCGUACACACCAUCAGGUACACUAAACUUCCCACCAUCUGCCUAUAUGGGAUCCGCUUCAUAUGUUCCUCCAUAGGUGUGGUUGCUGGGUUCAGCUCACUGAGUUGAAACCUCUGAAGCACGUCCAGAAUGUACUUCUUCUGAGACAUCUGAAUCACUCCCUUCCUCCUGUCUCGGAAGAUCUGAAUGCCAAGGCAGUAGUGAAGAGGUCCCAUGUCAACCAUCUUGAAUCGGCACCCCAAAUCCAGCUUCAACUGCUUCAUGGUAGCACCUUCACUUGAGAAAAGGAUGCAGUCAUCCACAUAGAGAGCUAUCAUGGCUCGAAAUUCUCCCACUCACUUCAAGUACACGUUACUGUCAGCUGAAGUCUUGGAGAACCCCAAACCCAAGAGAUAAGCGUCCAUUUUCUCGUACCAGGCCCUGGGUGCUUGUUUAAGGCCAUAUAAAGCCUUCUUCAACCGGCACACUAAAUGUUCCUUCCCUGGAACAACAAAGCCCUCUGGUUGCGAGAUAAAGACCUCCUCAUGUAGAUCUCCAUUCAGAAAAGCUGUGGUGACGUCCAUCUGCUCGACUUCCAAGUUUUCUUGAGCAGCAAUGUUCAGCAACAUCCUGAUCGAUGCAUGUUUCACCACUGGUGAAAAUGUUUCUGCAAAGUCCACUCCUUCUACUUGAGAAAAUCCUCGAGCUACAAAUCUGGCCUUGUAACGAUCAAUAGAGCCAUCUGGCUUAUACUUGAUCCGGAACAGCCACUUUGUACUCACGAUUCUUCUGCCUGUAGGAAGCUCCACCAAGUCCCACGUUUCAUUUUCCAUCAGAGAUUGAUACUCUAGGAAAAUUGCAUGCUGCCACUCUGCUGCAUUUGGACCAGCCAAGGCUUCUUGCAAGGUCUUGGGUACUGUGGCUUCUGCUUGGUGAAAGAGUGCUAGAAAGUCGAGUUCCAUGUCCUCAGAAGGAACUUCCUCCUGCUGCUGGGACGGUGAGCUUGCAGCAUAAUAAAAUGCUGCUGAGGUUACUGGAGGUGGCUCAGAUGCACUGCGAUCACGAGCUGCUCUGGCUUCAACUCUAGAAGCCUCAAGAGCCUGCUUUAAUGCCACAUCCUCUCUGUACUGCUGUCCUUGUUCAGUCAAGACACGAACACGACUGGAUCUACGAGGUGCUGCUGCUUCCUGCUGCUGGCUGCUUUCCUGCUGCUGGCUGCUCUCACUAGAGCUGCCUUCCUCGAAAUUGAGAGAAGGUGAGAGAUCUGAGACACUCCUUGGAAGAGUUCGGCCUGCCCUGGGAGGAACUUGAGCCACGACUCCACCUCCACCUGUAGCUGCUCCGCCUGAGUGUGCACGCUGCCGUCGAGAGGCAUCUUCCUCCUCGCUGUCGCUAUCCUCAAUUAGGGUUUGCUCACCACUAAUGAGUAACGGCAUCUGCUGCGAGGUGGUUGCUAGCUGGUUCUUGGUGUUGUACAUCUUAGACUCGUCGAAGAUGACAUUCCUGCUCGUGAUCACCUUCCUGGUGUUCAGGUUGAAGAGCUUGUAACCCUUCAUCUUGCUGGCAUAGCCAAGGAGAAUGCACUUCUCACUUCUACUGUCCAGCUUCUUGGGCUCGUCCUUGAGUGCAUAAGCUACACACCCAAAGAUCCUGAGAUGGCUCACGUCUGGUGCCUUCCCAUACCACACCUCAUAAGGUGUUCGUCCCUUGACAGCAGAAGUAAUCAGCCUAUUCCUCAAGUAGGCUGCUGUCUUCACAGCAUCACACCAAAAGAAAUUUGGCAUGCCUGUCUUGCAAGAUCGCUCGUGCCAUCUCCACAAGAGUUCGGUUCAUCCUCUCAGCCACGCCAUUUUGCUCAGGAGUUGAAGGCACUGAAAGUUGCCGCUUAAUUCCAGCUUGCUCACAGAACUCCUUAAAGGCGUUAGAGGUGAACUCUCCACCACCAUCACUUCUCAGCAUCUUGAUUUUUCUGCUUGUCUCAAGCUCCGCUUGCAGCUUGUAGACCUUGAAAGCUUCAAAGGCCUCUGACUUGUGCAGCAAAAACUUCACUGCUACCAUCCUUGAAAAAUCGUCGAUGAAUGUGACAAAGUAUUUCUUCUUUGUCCUUGACAUGGUCUGCAUUGGGCCACAUAGAUCAGAGUGUACCAGCUCCAGGACAUCCUUCCCUCUUUCACUUACACCUGAGCGAAAUGGAAGGCGAUGCUGCUUACUGAGGACACAAGGCUCACAAAAUCCAGCUGAUGAUGGAGCAAUGUUCAGUCCUCGGACAAGUUGUCCUCUUGCUAGCUGCUGUACUCUCUUGAUGGAAGAGUGGCCUAAUCUUCUGUGCCAAGUGUCUAGUGUAGCUGGUUUGUCUUCCACGCUGCUACUGAGCAUUAACCUCUCAGGAUACACCACUUCAGCAUUCAGGCAUGUCGGCGUCCCGAUGCUAGCUCAUAGCCUUCUCGUGAGAUGGUGCACCUUUUCUCGUUAAAGUCAAUCUUGCAGCUUGCGUCUGCUAUCUUCCCCACUGAGAAAAGAGUCUUCUUGACACCAGGCACAUAGUAGACAUUGCUCACGUCCACUUUCUGACCAUUGGCAAGUUUCACCUUGAUUGUCCCAACUCCUUGCACACUGUGCGAGUAAUCGUCACCAAGGUAAAUCCUCUUGUCGUCUGGAACUGGUCUCAGCUUGCCAAACAGCUCUCUGAUGUAUGUCAUGUGCCUGUUUGCUCCUGAGUCCACCCAGAUUACUUCUGCUUUCAACAGACCAUGUUUUGUCACCUGCUGAUCCUCUAACGAAGCCAUGAACAGACUGCCAUGCUCGUCAUCUGAAUCAGCUGCUGCAAAGUUAGCCACUUGCUUGCCUUUGUCUCGCUUUCUAGCUUCCUUGGCUUUCUUUGCUUCUUCAUUGGUGCAGUCUCUUGCCCAAUGACCAGGUUUCUUGCAAAUGUUGCAAAGGCCGUCGUUUUUCUUCUUCUUCUUCUUGGACUUGCUCCCACUGGUUCCAUCAGUCCCUGGAGAAUUCACUGGGCCCAACCUGUCCCACACUGUUGCAGAUCGCUUGCCCUUUGAAGAUUGACCAGCAAAUAGCGCUUGAUCUUGAGAUCCAACUCCCUCAUUGGUCUCCAUCAAGUUCUCUGCUGACUUCAACUGAAGGACCAUUUCGUCAAAUUUCUUUGACGAGUGAGUAGUCGCUGUUGUCAGAAGAUACUUCGCCACGCCUUUGAUGACAACCGACUUGAGCUUCGGUUCACUCACUGGUGUCUUCGUGAUGCGUGCGAUCUGGCUUGCUACCUUCCUCAACCUUCCAACAAAGGCUUGAAUGGACUCACCUUCAUGCUGUCUUACAGAACCGAGUUCUGUCUCUAAGUCCAGCAAUGUGGUCUCAUUCUCCUUUCCGAGGGUUGCUUUCAGGUUUUCCCAGUUCUCGUGCGCAGUCUUCGUGAUGUCGAGAUGGCAACUGAACACCUUGGCCUCUGCCUAGAAUGCCCAAGGCCUUGAUGUUCUUUCCAUCCCACUCUUUGCGGUCAGCCUUGUCCGUUGUGGGAGGGCGCGUCCAGGAACCGUCGACCACUGGCCACAGCUCCUUCUACUCGAGUUGCUCCUGCCAUCCGCUGAAAUCCUUGCCAUCAAAGAUCUCUAUGGCGUCGCGCACACUCCCCAUCUUCAGGAUCGUUCUUCACACGCGCUCUGAUACCAUGUUAUGAAAUGGGGACACCCAGCCUUGUGAGCGCAGCAGCGCUCCAUGCUGGGUCCACCUUUAUUGCGGAAGACGGAUCAAGAACAGAAUGUGUCAGGCGUGAUCACCUACAGAACCUAAACGGAUGUGUCCCUUCUGCUGACGUGGCAUCCCAGCUUGAGAUUGCGGCUUAAGUCCUCAACAGUUCUUGCUAGCAGCAUCCUGUCACCGGCGUAUAGCAGGAGGUAGAGUAGCAUGCUAGCGAGUUGGAUGGUUGAAAGCUCUUCAUCGCUAUCCUCCAUCAGCUUUUCCAAACCAUCCAUGAAUAUGCCAAAAAAAAAGUGUGGGUGAACUUCAGUGUGACAUGAGAUUUGCGCUUGGCCUUGGACGUCGGCUUUGACAUUCGUAUAGAGCUGUUGUAUGACUUUGAUCAGCGUGCAGGGGGACUGAAGCUCGACGAGGUGUUGGAAGAGCUUUGUUCGUAGCACCAUGUCGAAGGCUUUGGUGAUGUCGACAAAGCAACUGUACACCGCUCCAUUUCUCCAACUUCAGCCUGUCCAUCAUGAUCCGGAGAGUCACGAAGUGGUUGAUACAGGAAAAGUGUGGGCGAAAUCCUGCAUGGCCUGCCUUCUUGCUCCACUGGACGAGGUGUUUCUCCAUGAGCCGUGCAAAGAGCUUAGUGAAGAUUGUUGACACCAUGGUCGUUCCGUAGUUUCCAGGCUGUGUUGGAUCCCCUUGUUUGUAGAUCGGGAUGUCAUGAUUCACAUUCCAGCUCGUUGGGAAGCCAUCAUGGAUGAUGUUGUUGAAGAUUGAAACUUCAACCGGGAACAAGCCCAACAAGUCUGACACAACCCACACCAAGCAUACAAAAUCUUCAAGAAGAAGAAAGUGCCAGUCCUUGUUGACAAAGUAGAGAUCUAGAUCCAACACAUUCAACAAACUUAGGAAUCUGCCAGCAGAGGAAUGUGACAUCCCACUAGCCUACUACAGACAAAUCAAAGAAGUGAUCAACACCUGCAAGGACCCUCAUGAGGCAUUGCAUAUUCAGCGUUUGGAGGAGUUUCGCUGUGAAGCCUUUUUGCUGCGGCAGAUGGUUGAUUGCUUCUUUGAUUUGUUCCUAAGUAGAAGGUCAGUGGGAUGUCAUAUUGGAUCUCCUCUACUGGCAUAUUAGUUCGUACAGUUGUUGAAUGCAAAUCUCUACUUCAUCAAUGAGGACUGGUGCUCUUUUCUUUUCAAAAAUUUUAUAUGCAUGAUGUGGGUCGUGUCAAACUUGCCAAGCUUGUUCCUGGUUGAAAUUUCGAUCAUGCUAGUGUCAGGGUGCUCUUGCCACCUUUUGGAAUUGUGGGUGGGGGUGGUCAGCGUCUGGGUGGCAGUCUCGUUUUGCUCUUUUGUAUGCUUUGUGGAGUUUUGUACAGUGCAUUUCUUGACUGGCAAUCCCUUCGUCUGCCAGUCAGGUUUGAGAUAUAGGUCCUCGUCCUGGUGUUGUUUGAUGGCUGCACUAUGCCUCCAUGUCCUAGUCCCAUGGAAGUUGCUUUCCAGUUCCAUGCACUGUGUGUGUGGAAGCUUGGGAGGUCAGGGACCCUGCUCUGCUGGUGUUCCCACGUUUCAACCAGUGCGAUGAUGUCAAAAUGCCCAUAUUCCGCUAGACCCAGUCCACAGUCGUCCAAAUUUGCAACCUUGAUGAUGUCCUGCUUGAUGGCGCAGCAACUAAGGUAACACCAUCACCACGCCGUUGUAUUAUUGUUGAAAAGGAGACACCAUAGUUGAACACAUCCAAUCCAAGGCUACUGAACUCUCUCCAUUUUCCCGAUGUUGAAAAAAUGUAGGAUCUACAAUACAUUUCCAACAACGCAUUCGCCACAAAAUGUGCCUAUCUCGAGGCAAAGUCCUCUUUUCUCUGUCCAUGUUAUUGAAUAAGUGCAGAGCCACCAAACUCUCUCCAUUCAUGAUACAGCGCUUCAUUGUGGCUUGCCUAUGAAUAGUCGAUCAGGCCCACUUUCUUUCUACGUAUGCUGAGAGGUCUUUUCCACGCGUGAAGGGAAAAGAAUUUUACCUAUAGUCACAACUUGGAGCGGGAGCGAGUAACUUGGAGUAAAUCCUUGCGAAGAAUUUUCCCUGUUGCUGACUUUGGAAUCGAGGGUACAAAAGUCACUGCCCGGAUCCUCUUAUGAGAAGCGACCUGGGAUAGAAAAACAAGAUCACUGGAGAAGGGAAACUGUGCUUUUUACCUGUCUCGCAAUGAAAUCCAUAACUUCGUCUUUCGAGAGCGAUUUUCCCGCUUCGCCGGAUCCACGAACAACACAGGCGAGAGGAAUCUCACCAGCAUCAUCAUCCGGGUACCUGGAAGAAUAUUUAAAACACGAUGUUGACAAAAGAUAAAGGUAGAAAAUGGUGGUGGGCUUACGGGAUCACGGCUGCGUCGGCAAUGCCUGGAUGAGCGAGAAGAAGAGCUUCCAGUUCCGCAGGAGCAACCUGGAAGCCUUUGUACUUGAUGAGUUCCUUGAGCCUGUCGACGAUGAAGAGGAAGCCAUCGUCGUCGAAGUAGCCAAUGUCUCCGGUGUGGAGCCAGCCCUCUGGAUCGAUGGUGGCGGCGGUGGCGGCAGGAUUGUUGAGGUAGCUUUGCAUGAUGCAAGGGCCUCGCAGCCAGAGCUCGCCUCGAGAGUGUGGAGGCAGUGGCUUGCCCGUAUCCACGUUCGUGACUUUGGCUUCGUGGUUCGCUGUUAGAAGCCCGGCCGAGCCGAAUGGAGCUUCUCCACUGGCACCAAGACCAGUUGUCUCAGUCAUGCCGUAAGCCUUGAGUGACAAGAACUUGAAAGUUAGAGCCAAAACCAAAGAAAAUUCCUGGACAACUCUGAUGAAAGUCAUGCAAAAGUUCUAAGAACCAAAGAAAUUCUUGGACAACUCUGAUAAACACGAAAAGCGAACCAAAAUCAUGCAAAAGUUCUGAGCCAAGCAAGGAAAAUCGAACAAGAAAACCGUGAAGAACGAAGAACAUACCUGACUAAACUCUUGGAUUUGUGGAAACUUUGCUAGAAAUGCUUCCAAAGUUUCCUUGGCCAGUGGAGCAGCGCCCGAUGCGGCUCUCUUCAGAGAAGAUAGAUCGUAGCUUUCCACCGCUGGGUGCUUGAGGAGCGCGACCACGAUCGGCGGCACCAUGGGCAGACUGGUGAUCUUAAAUCGCUGGAUGCACUGGAGCAUGUGGAGGAGGUCGAAUUUCCUGACCACCACCAUCGUCGCGGCGAGAUAGAUCAUCAUGCAGCCGCUAUAGAUGAGCCCGGCGAUGUGGAAGAGCGGCAAAAGGAUGAAGGUCACGACCUUGUCAUCGUUGUCAUUGGGCUUAGAGGCGAGGAUCGAGACCGCGGCGAUGAGAUUUCCAUGAGAGAGCAGCACGCCUUUGCUCGGCCCCGUGGUCCCCGACGAGUAGAGCAGCGCCGCUGGAUCGCCCUGCCGGAUUCUCACCGCGCUAGGGAAUUUGCUCUCAUCCACGGCGAGGAGGCUCUCGAAUCGCACGAAGCGUGGAUGAUCCUGGAAGAAUUUGGCGCCGGCAUUCUCCCCGUCGAGGAUCACCGUAGGGAAACCCUGCCCGUUCUUGCCGAUCUUGGCGACCAGGUCCGGCAUCGUCACGACAAAUCCCGCCCUGGAAUCUCGCAGCUGGCGCUCGAUUUCGGCAGCGGUGUUGGCCGGAUUGGCCGUGGUCGCGACGGCGCCGAUGGAGAGAAUGGCAGCGAAGAGGAUCGGGAAAUACACCGUGUUGCCGAGCAACAGGAGGACGACAUCACCUUGGGAGACUCCGACAAUCGAUGAGAGGCCCGACGCCACGGAUUUGGCGAGGCGCUGGAAAUCGCCGCAGUGGAUCGUGAAGCCGGUGGUGGAAUCGACGAGCAGCGGCGACGACGAGUUGGAUGGAUCGGCUAGAGGCCCCGAGAAGAGCAAUGCGGGGAGGCUGUGAUGCGUUUGGAGAGGAAUCGGGACUGGAGGGAACAAGCUGCGAUAGAUCCCGUCCUCUCCAUAGCCGCCUUUUACCUCCGCCAUAGCCAUAG
rnacentral:lncRNA from 1 species